rnacentral:rRNA from 1 species
ACAAGCGGUGGAGCAUGUGGUUUAAUUCGAAGCAACGCGAAGAACCUUACCAGGUCUUGACAUCCCGAUGCUAUUCUAGAGAUAGAAAGUUACUUCGGUACAUCGGUGACAGGUGGUGCAUGGUUGUCGUCAGCUCGUGUCGUGAGAUGUUGGGUUAAGUCCCGCAACGAGCGCAACCCUUAUCCUUUGUUGCCAGCGGUCCGGCCGGGAACUCAAAGGAGACUGCCAGUGAUAAACUGGAGGAAGGUGGGAUGACGUCAAGUCAUCAUGGCCCUUACGACCAGGGCUACACACGUGCUACAAUGGCGCAUACAAAGAGAAGCGACCUCGCGAGAGCAAGCGGACCUCAUAAAGUGCGUCGUAGUCCGGAUUGGAGUCUGCAACUCGACUCCAUGAAGUCGGAAUCGCUAGUAAUCGUGGAUCAGAAUGCCACGGUGAAUACGUUCCCGGGCCUU